rnacentral:rRNA from 1 species
AGCCGCGGGAACACCGGCAGCUCUAGUGGUAGCAAUUUUAUUGGGCCUAAAGCGUCCGUAGCCGGUUUAAUAAGUCUCUGGUGAAAUCCUGCAGCUUAACUGUGGGAAUUGCUGGAGAUACUAUUAGACUUGAGACCGGGAGAGGUUAGAGGUACUCCCAGGGUAGAGGUGAAAUUCUGUAAUCCUGGGAGGACCGCCUGUUGCGAAGGCGUCUAACUGGAACGGUUCUGACGGUGAGGGACGAAAGUUAGGGGCGCGAACCGGAUUAGAUACCCGGGUAGUCCUAACUGUAAACGAUGCGGACUUGGUGUUGGGGUGGCUUUGAGCUGCUUCAGUGCCGAAGGGAAGCUGUUAAGUCCGCCGCCUGGGAAGUACGGUCGCAAGACUGAAACUUAAGGAAUUGGCGGGGGAGCACCACAACGCGUGGAGCCUGCCGGUUUAAUUGGAUUCAACGCCGGACAUCUCACCAGAGGCGACAGCUGUAUGAUAGCCAGGUUGAUGACUUUGCUUGACUAGCUGAGAGGUGGUGCAUGG